rnacentral:misc_RNA from 1 species
UGGUUCUCGCAUCGAUGAAGAACGCAGCGAAAUGCGAUAAGUAAUGUGAAUUGCAGAAUUCAGUGAAUCAUCGAAUCUUUGAACGCACAUUGCGCCCCUUGGUAUUCCGAGGGGCAUGCCUGUUCGAGCGUCAUUACACCACUCAAGCUAUGCUUGGUAUUGGGUGCCGUCCUUAGUUGGGCGCGCCUUAAAGACCUCGGCGAGGCCUCACCGGCUUUAGGCGUAGUAGAAUUUAUUCGAACGUCUGUCAAAGGAGAGGACUUCUGCCGACUGAAACCUUUUAUUUUUUCUAGGUUGACCUCGGAUCAGGUAGGGAUACCCGCUGA